ACAAAACCUGCAGCCCGACUUGAGUGGAAAUCCUUUUUGCCUAAAAAAAACCUUUGUUCUUGUGAAAACUUUUCGAAGCAAAAAGAUUGGGAACGGAAGGCGGAAAUGUCU
rnacentral:sRNA from 1 species